AUACGGAGGGUGCAAGCGUUACUCGGAAUCACGGGGCGUAAAGCGCGCGCAGGCGGGCUGAUAAGUUGGAUGUGAAAGCCUACGGCUCAACCGUAGAACUGCAUCCAAAACUGUCAGUCUAGAGUGUGGGAGAGGAAGAUGGAAUUAGUUGUGUAGGGGUAAAAUCCGUAGAGAUAACUAGGAAUACCAAAAGCGAAGGCAAUCUUCUGGAACACUACUGACGCUGAGGCGCGAAGGCGUGGGGAGCAAACAGGAUUAGAAACCCGGGUAGUCC
rnacentral:rRNA from 1 species